rnacentral:rRNA from 1 species
UAACUACGUGCCAGCAGCCGCGGUAAUACGUAGGGGGCAAGCGUUAUCCGGAAUCACUGGGCUAAAGGGUGCGUAGGCGGCUUAGCAAGCCUAGGGGUGAAAGGCAUUGGCUCAACCAAUGUAAGCCUUUGGAACUGUUAAGCUUGAGUGCAGGAGAGGUAAGUGGAAUUCCUAGUGUAGAGGUGAAAUUCGUAGAUAUUAGGAGGAACACCAGUGGCGAAGGCGACUUACUGGACUGUAACUGACGCUGAUGCACGAAAGCGUGGGUAGCGAACAGGAUUAGAUACCCUGGGG